GGAUUCAGUUUCGCGGCCCAAAUAAAAGCUCUCUUUUACCCGAGAACGUUUCGUGGAUUCGUGGGCCAAACCUUCUGCCUCACAAAAAAAGCAAAACGAAACAAAACUGGAAGCAGAAAAACUGAAAACCUUCAUACAAGAAAUUCGAGACGGGGACACAUUCCUCAUUCCUCGAGAACCCAAAGCACGGUCGAUCGAGCAACGCAACGUACCGAGAACCAAAACAAAAACUCCGAUCAUCUUGUUCCUUCCUACCACCCCACAACACAACCCACGCCACUCUCCUAGCUCUCCUACUCAAGCUCCCCCCAUCGACGACGACGAGACUAGGCCAUAUAUAUGUGUCGGAGAAUACAAUGCAAGCUUACAGAGUGUCUUAAUAUUACAAGAAAGAAAAUAUUACUGUGGAAUACUUUAAAAUAUAAAAUAAAUAAAAGAGGGAACCUUCUAGUGUUUAGAUAUGCAUGAAGAAUUAUGUAGAAGCUUUGGAAUACUCUAGAAUAGGAGUUUAAAAUAAAUAAAUAGAAAACCUUCUAAUACCUAGAUAUUUGUGUAGAAGUGUGUGGAAGACUUUAGAUAUUUUGUAUUAAUGGCUAAGAUCUUGACACAUGUCAAAGAUCCAAUGGUCAUGUAGUCCUAUAAAUAGAGGCACUUGCCUCACACCUUGAGUAGUAGAGAAUAAGAAAGUGAAGAAGGUGGAGAACAAGGUGUGAGCAAGUGUAAGGAUUGAUGAGGUGGGCUACAUAUGGCCUGAAUUGGCCACAAAUAAAAUCUUAGGCAUGAUAUUUUUUUAAACUUACAGAUUGAAAUGACUUGUAUUGCACAUGAAUUGAAUGUGAAACUUUGCAAAAAUAUUUUAUAAAA